rnacentral:rRNA from 1 species
GGUUAAGCGACUAAGCGUACACGGUGGAUGCCCUGGCAGUCAGAGGCGAUGAAGGACGUGCUAAUCUGCGAUAAGCGCCGGUAAGGUGAUAUGAACCGUUAUAACCGGCGAUUUCCGAAUGGGGAAACCCAGUGUGAUUCGUCACACUAUCAUUAACUGAAUCCAUAGGUUAAUGAGGCGAACCGGGGGAACUGAAACAUCUAAGUACCCCGAGGAAAAGAAAUCAACCGAGAUUCCCCCAGUAGCGGCGAGCGAACGGGGAGGAGCCCAGAGCCUGAAUCAGCAUGUGUGUUAGUGGAAGCGUCUGGAAAGGCGCGCGAUACAGGGUGACAGCCCCGUACACAAAAGCGCAUGUGCUGUGAGCUCGAUGAGUAGGGCGGGACACGUGGUAUCCUGUCUGAAUAUGGGGGGACCAUCCUCCAAGGCUAAAUACUCCUGACUGACCGAUAGUGAACCAGUACCGUGAGGGAAAGGCGAAAAGAACCCCGGCGAGGGGAGUGAAAAAGAACCUGAAACCGUGUACGUACAAGCAGUGGGAGCCCCACCACUAAGCCAGUGGUGAACUCCACAUACGCAUCCUUUGCUGAGGAUACGGUUAACGGAGCGAAAGCGACGUUCAACCUCAAAAGAAGCAGAGGGGGCUUAGUGGUGGGGUGACUGCGUACCUUUUGUAUAAUGGGUCAGCGACUUAUAUUCUGUAGCAAGGUUAACCGUAUAGGGGAGCCGGAGGGAAACCGAGUCUUAAUUGGGCGUUAAGUUGCAGGGUAUAGACCCGAAACCCGGUGAUCUAGCCAUGGGCAGGUUGAAGGUUGGGUAACACUAACUGGAGGACCGAACCGACUAAUGUUGAAAAAUUAGCGGAUGACCUGUGGCUGGGGGUGAAAGGCCAAUCAAACCGGGAGAUAGCUGGUUCUCCCCGAAAGCUAUUUAGGUAGCGCCUCGUGAAUUCAUCUUCGGGGGUAGAGCACUGUUUCGGCUAGGGGGUCAUCCCGACUUACCAACCCGAUGCAAACUGCGAAUACCGGAGAAUGUUAUCACGGGAGACACACGGCGGGUGCUAACGUCCGUCGUGAAGAGGGAAACAACCCAGACCGCCAGCUAAGGUCCCAAAGUCAUGGUUAAGUGGGAAACGAUGUGGGAAGGCCCAGACAGCCAGGAUGUUGGCUUAGAAGCAGCCAUCAUUUAAAGAAAGCGUAAUAGCUCACUGGUCGAGUCGGCCUGCGCGGAAGAUGUAACGGGGCUAAACCAUGCACCGAAGCUGCGGCAGCGAACGUAUCACUUAAAGCGAUUCAGCGGGUUACGAUUGACGGAGCGAAGCGACGUCAAAGCGUAUACAAAGUCGAGUCGGUUUAAGGAUACGUU